rnacentral:rRNA from 1 species
UACAGAGACUGCAAGCGUUAUUCGGAUUCACUGGGCGUAAAGGGUGCGUAGGUGGUUUAAUAAGUUAUUGGUGGGAAAACGGGGCUCAACCCCGUGGAUGCUAGUAAUACUAUUGAACUAGAGGAUCGGAGAGGUUAACGGAAUGGCUCGCGUAGGGGUAAAAUCCGUAAAUACGAGUUGGAACACCAAAAGGCGAAGGCAGUUAACUAUUCGAUUCCUGACAUUGAGGCACGAAAGCGUGGGGAGCAAGACGG